UGAGGAAUAUUGGACAAUGGAGGCAACUCUGAUCCAGCCAUGCCGCGUGCAGGAAGACGGCCCUAUGGGUUGUAAACUGCUUUUAUACGGGAAGAAACCCAACUACGUGUAGUUGGCUGACGGUACCGUAAGAAUAAGCACCGGCUAACUCCGUGCCAGCAGCCGCGGUAAUACGGAGGGUGCAAGCGUUAUCCGGAAUCAUUGGGUUUAAAGGGUCCGUAGGCGGGCUAAUAAGUCAGGGGUGAAAUCCAACAGCUUAACUGUUGAACUGCCUUUGAUACUGUUAGUCUUGAAUUAUAUGGAAGUAGAUAGAAUGUGUAGUGUAGCGGUGAAAUGCUUAGAGAUUACACAGAAUACCGAUUGCGAAGGCAGUCUACUACGUAUAUAUUGACGCUAAUGGACGAAAGCGUGGGGAGCGAACA
rnacentral:rRNA from 1 species